rnacentral:rRNA from 1 species
GACGUAGGGCGCGAGCGUUGUCCGGAUUUAUUGGGCGUAAAGAGCUCGUAGGCGGCUUGUUGCGUCGACCGUGAAAACCCGGGGCUCAACUUCGGGCUUGCGGUCGAUACGGGCGGGCUAGAGUUCGGUAGGGGAGACUGGAAUUCCUGGUAUAGCGGUGAAAUGCGCAGAUAUCAGGAGGAACACCGGUGGCGAAGGCGGGUCUCUGGGCAAUAACUGACGCUGAGGAGCGAAAGCGUGGGGAGCGAACAGG